rnacentral:rRNA from 1 species
UACAGAGGGUGCAAGCGUUAAUCGGAGUUACUGGGCGUAAAGGGUGCGUAGGUGGUUAGAUAAGUCAGUUGUGAAAGGCCUGGGCUUAACCUAGGAAUUGCAACUGAAACUGUAUAACUGGAGUUGAGUAGAGGGGAGCGGAAUUUCCGGUGUAGCGGUGAAAUGCGUAGAUAUCGGAAGGAACAUCAGUGGCGAAGGCGGCUCUCUGGACUCAAACUGACGCUGAAGCACGAAAGCGUGGGUAGCGAACAGG